rnacentral:rRNA from 1 species
UACGUAGGGGGGCAAGCGUUGUCCGGAUUUAUUGGGCGUAAAGAGCGUGUAGGCGGCUGGGUAGGUCCGUUGUGAAAACUCGAGCUCAACCUCGAGACGCCGAUGGAAACCCCCCAGCUAGAGUCCGGAAGAGGAGAGUGGAAUUCCUGGUGUAGCGGUGAAAUGCGCAGAUAUCAGGAAGAACACCCGUGGCUAAGGCGGCUCUCUAGUACGGUACUGACGCUGAGACGCGAAAGCGUGGGGAGCGAACAGG